UCCCAAUGUGAUCCCCUCUGCGACGGGCCAACUAGUGCUCCCCCAGCUCCCAGAAACAUAGCCACUUGGGAUAAAAUCUGGUAUGCCCAAGGUCUGUGAGGGUAAAGUGAUGUUUCCUUUUGACUUAUGACUGCCUAUGUAU